AUUGAACGCUAGCGGGAUGCUUUACACAUGCAAGUCGAACGGCAGCGCGGACUUCGGUCUGGCGGCGAGUGGCGAACGGGUGAGUAAUGUAUCGGAACGUGCCCAGUAGCGGGGGAUAACUACGCGAAAGCGUAGCUAAUACCGCAUACGCCCUACGGGGGAAAGCAGGGGAUCGUAAGACCUUGCACUAUUGGAGCGGCCGAUAUCGGAUUAGCUAGUUGGUGAGGUAACGGCUCACCAAAGCGACGAUCCGUAGCUGGUUUGAGAGGACGACCAGCCACACUGGGACUGAGACACGGCCCAGACUCCUACGGGAGGCAGCAGUGGGGAAUUUUGGACAAUGGGGGCAACCUUGAUCCAGCCAUCCCGCGUGUGCGAUGAAGGCCUUCGGGUUGUAAAGCACUUUUGGCAGGAAAGAAACGUCGCGGGCUAAUACCCCGUGGAACUGACGGUACCUGCAGAAUAAGCACCGGCUAACUACGUG
rnacentral:rRNA from 1 species